rnacentral:tRNA from 3 species
GUCCUUGUAGUUCAAUGGAUAGAACAGUCCCGUCCUAAGGGAUAGAUGCAAGUUCGAUUCUUGCCGAGGACA